rnacentral:rRNA from 1 species
AGAGUUUGAUCCUGGCUCAGGAUGAACGCUGGCGGCGUGCCUAACACAUGCAAGUCGAACGAAGACAUACCGACGGAGUCCUUCGGGAGGAAGAUGGUAUGGACUGAGUGGCGGACGGGUGAGUAACGCGUGGGAAACCUGCCCUGUACAGGGGGACAACAGUUAGAAAUGACUGAUAGUACCGCAUAAUCGCACAGUACCGCAUGGAACAGUGCGAAAAACUCCGGAGGCACAGGAUGGGCCCGCGUCUGAUUAGUUACUUGGCGGGGUAACGGCCCACCAAGAUGACGAUCAGUAGCCGGCUUGAGAGAGUGAAUGGCCACACUUGGGACUGAGACCCGGCCCAAACUCCUACGGGAGGCAGCAGUGGGGAAUAUUGCACAAUGGGGGAAACCCUGAUGCAGCAACGCCGCGUGAGUGAAGAAGUAUUUUGGUAUGUAAAGCUUUAUUAGCAGGGAAGAAAAUGACGGUACCUGACUAAGAAGCCCCGGCUAACUACGUGCCAGCACCCGCGGAAAUACGUAGGGGGCAAGCGUUAUCCGGAUUUACUGGGUGUAAAGGGAGUGUAGGUGGCUGUGCAAGUCAGGAGUGAAAGCCCGGGGCUCAACCCCGGGACUGCUCUUGAAACUGUGCGGUUUGAGUGCAGGAGGGGCAGGCGGAAUUCCUAGUGUAGCGGUGAAAUGGGUAGAUAUUAGGAGGAACCCCGGUGGCGAAGGCGGCCUGCUGGACUGUAACUGACAGUGAGGCUUGAAAGCGUGGGGAGCAAACCGGAUUAGAUACCCUGGUAGUUCACCCCGUAAACGAUGAAUACUAGGUGUCGGGGAUCAUAAGAGCUUCGGAGCCGCAGCAAACGCAAUAAGUAUUCCGCAUGGGGAGUACGUUCGCAAGAAUGAAACUCAAAGGAAUUGACGGGGACCCGCACAAGCGGUGGGGCAUUGUGGUUUAAUUAGAAGGCAACGCGAUAGCACCUUUCCCAGCCCUUGACAUCCCUUGCAGAGGUAUAGAGAUAUAUUCGAGGUUUCCAAGGCGACAGGUGGUGCAUGGUUGUCGUCAGCUCGUGUCGUGAGAUGUUGGGUUAAGUCCCGCAACGAGCGCAACCCUUGUGAUAUGUUACUAACAUUGAGUUGAGCGACUCAUAUCAGACUGCCGGUGAUAACCCGGAGGAAGGUGGGGAUGACGUCAAAUCAUCAUGCCCCUUAUGGCCUGGGCUACACACGUACUACAAUGGCGUCUACAAAGAGCGGCAAGCCUGUGAAGGCAAGCGAAUCUCAUAAAGGACGUCUCAGUUCGGAUUGAAGUCUGCAACCCGACUUCAUGAAGCUGGAAUCGCUAGUAAUCGCGGAUCAGCAUGCCGCGGUGAAUACGUUCCCGGGCCUUGCACUCACCGCCCGUCA